rnacentral:rRNA from 1 species
GAUGAACGCUGGCGGCGUGCCUAAUACAUGCAAGUCGAGCGAACAGACGAGGAGCUUGCUCCUCUGGCGUUAGCGGCGGACGGGUGAGUAACACGUGGAUAACCUACCUAUAAGACUGGGAUAACUUCGGGAAACCGGAGCUAAUACCGGAUAAUAUAUUGAACCGCAUGGUUCAAUAGUGAAAGACGGUUUUGCUGUCACUUAUAGAUGGAUCCGCGCCGCAUUAGCUAGUUGGUAAGGUAACGGCUUACCAAGGCAACGAUGCGUAGCCGACCUGAGAGGGUGAUCGGCCACACUGGAACUGAGACACGGUCCAGACUCCUACGGGAGGCAGCAGUAGGGAAUCUUCCGCAAUGGGCGAAAGCCUGACGGAGCAACGCCGCGUGAGUGAUGAAGGUCUUCGGAUCGUAAAACUCUGUUAUUAUGGAAGAACAAAUGUGUAAGUAACUAUGCACGUCUUGACGGUACCUAAUCAGAAAGCCACGGCUAACUACGUG